AGGCAGUUUUGAGUGUUUUUGUGUUAUUUUGAGUCUUUUGGUUUGUUUUGGUGUUUUAAGUUAUAAUUUUACAUUCUUUGAGUCUAGUUUAGUGUUUUAAACUUUGUUUUUACGUUUUUGAGUCAGUUUUCAAGUGAUUUAGCAAUCCCUCCUAAUCCCCGGCCUAGAACGAUCCCUACUUACAUACUUACUACAAUUGAUAAAAAGAGGGUUAAUUUGAGUGCUAGUUAAUAUCACAUCAAAUUUUGGCGCCGUUGCCGGGGAUUAGCAACUUUGCUAAUCCCUUGGUUCUUUUCUUUUUGUUUAGUUUGUUUCUGUUUUAGUUUCUGACUUAAUUUUGUUUUCCUUGUUUUGUGUUACUUUUGAUAUUUGAUUUAGUUCUCUUUCUUUGAUUUUAGGUACUAGAGAAGUAAGACAUGGAUUUUGUUAGCAUUCAAGCUCAAUUAGCAAAUCUUACUUCUCAAUUGUCACAGAUUGCCGAAAGGACCACAAUGCAAAGUGUCCCUACAUUUGGUGCGUCUUAUAGGCAAGGAUACCAAGCCAAUCUAUAUCCACAAAGCGAUUGGAGUGAUCAUUCAAACUCUAUGUGGUGGGAAGCUCAACAAGUUCAACACAAAGCAUAUUGGCAGCCAUAUGAAGAGUUCUAUUCAAGACCUAUGCAGCCACCACAACCUCAUAUACAAUAUGCUCAAUCAAAUUUAGGUUCGUCAAUAGAUUAUAAUCAAAUUCUUAAUGAAUUAAAUUCUUUGUUGCAGGGCUCACAAAAUCAAGCCAAGGAGGCUCAACAAGGUGGAUAUUGGCAGCAAGAAGAGGAGUUCUAUCAUUGGCCAUAUGAACUAUCACAUCCAUCACAACAAUUUGCCCAAUUCAAUUCAGGUACGUCUUUGGAUAAUGAUAUGUUUAAUAAGUUACUCACCUCUUUGUACCAGGAAGUAGAAAAUCGAAACAAAGAGAUGCCAAUUCAAACCAAGAAGACGGGUGAAUUGGAGAAGCAUAUUGGGCAGAUUAUGGAGUUCAUGGCACAAAUUCAAGAGCAAAGUGAAGUCUCCAACUCAACUAUUGAAAAUUCGAAGGAAGAUUUUGAAAUCCAUGAUGCUAUCACUUUGGGAAGUGCUAUGGAGGUUGGAGCUGACCUAAAAAUGUCCAAACAUUGCCUAGAAGUGGAUGAGGAGCUGCUGAUUGAGGAGGAGGAAGAAGACAUACACACGGCAAGGGUAGAACAACCCUUGCCGCAACCCCCUAAGCCUUCUAACCCACCCACCACAAGUAAGGACGUCCCAAUUUCAUUUCAUUCUAAUGUUAUUCCUCCCAAUGUCCCUUUUCCUAGCAGGUUUUUGAUUCCCAAGCAAGAAGAGAGUGAAAAAGACAUUGUGGAAGCUCUUCCAAAGGUGCAAAAGGAUAUUCCAAUUCUUGGUGCAACAAAGCAAGUUCUAGAUCGUGUUGAAUAUUUCAAAGGCCUUUGUUUCCCAAGAAGAAUGAUUCAAGAGAAAGUAGUGGCUAAAGAAUGUCAAGACUUCAUCAAAGAGGACAAAUUUGAAACAACAAAGCCCAAAGAAGUUGAAUUUGAUGACAUUGGACAAGUCACAACCAUCAUAGUAAAUCUGGCCAAGUCCAAUAUCCCUAAAACUUUCAAAGGAGUGGUGUUUGUCAUUGAGUUCUUGUCGGACAAAGCAAGUAAAUCAUCUUCUCCAAUUUCCAUUACAUUUUAUACUAACUUGCUGAUUUUGAUGAAUCAGGUACCUACACUAGAAUCUAAACCAAUGCCGGUUCAUUUCAAGUAUCAUCGUCCAUUCAAAGAUCAAAUCCAUGCCGUGGGACCUAGGGGAGCUUAAAGAGAAGCAUUCAAAUAAGGAAGAUUGAGGACAAUGCCGUGGGACCUAGGAAUUGCUCUAACAACCAGAUUUGAGUUUCUAAAACCCUUCACUUUGUUGCUUGUUUCUAAUCUGCCAGUUUUGUUUUUAACUUGCUGUUUGUGUGUUUCUUUGUGUUUUGUGUGAGUUUAUGCUUGAAACAUUGAGGACAAUGUUUGAUUUAAGUGUGGGGGGGUAAAUAAGUGUUUUUGAUGCAAAUUCGUGGGAUUUUAUCACCCUUUACUUAUAGACUUGUUCCUUGCUGUUUUUAAGUGUUUUUAAGCUGUUUUGGUGUGUUUUAGGGUGUUUUGAAGUAAAAAUCCGAAAAUCACAUAAAAAUUUGAAAAAUUUGUUUUAAAAACCCAAAAAGAGUUGUUUUUGUGUGUUUGUUUGUGUCUUAGGGUACCUUCCAACACAAUGAUGAGGAUUUGGUUUUUAAUUGCAUGACUGUUAAAGAGAGUGAUUAACAUGGAUGAAAGUUUGAUUUACUCUUUGUUUAUGCUUGGUUGUGGUUAUAACUUAUGAAUUCACAUGCAAUCAUAAAGGAAAAAUCAGUUUUUGUAACAUGCUUGAAGAAAGGAACUCGAAUUAACGCUACAACCUUGUGAGACUUGAGCCUAAACGUUUAUUUGGAGAGUUAAAAUCUGUGCAUUCUUUGUUUUCUAAGUCGUUGCAUGAUCUCAUUAUUCCUUGCUUGGUUACUACUUAGAAGGCGUUUCAUCAUUUAGUUCCAAAUGCUAGAACUCAUGCCCAUUUCAUUCAAAGCAUGUCAUUGAAUUGCAUAACACAUAUUCAAGAUGAAGUUGUGUAGUGACCACCACCUUAGCCAAAUGCCGUGUGCCCUAUGUCAUUAUGUUUUGUAGGUUUUUAACCCCGUUGAGCCUUGUUUAGCCUAUUCUUUGUUAACCCAUGUUUUCCUCACCUAGCCUAGAUUAGGACCAUCCAUACCUUUGUUCUUAAAGCAUAGUAAAGCAUGAUUCAAAUUGAAUUCCUUUUAAUUUAUGUUGGCAGAAAACAAGUGUGGGGGAAGUAUUUCUUUUGGUGAUUUUGUGUGUCAUAGGCACGUGUGGAAGAAAAGAAAAGAAAAAUUGAAGAAAAAAAUAUUAAAAGUUUGAAAAAAAGAGUUGAAAAGUUGAGAAAAAGAGUUCCAAAGUAUUGUUUGUUGAAGUAAGGGUCCAAAACAAUGAAUUCGGCCCUAAGGAGUUGUUUAAGUCUUCCCCUUGUGUUUUAAAGUUAAUUUCUGCAAUCUAAGUGAAUUCUAAGUCUCAAUUUCAGUGCUUUGCUUACUAUUGCUUGAAGAACGGUUGUUUUCCCUAUCCUUUCCUUGUUAACCAACACCCCAAGCCCCAUUACAACCCUUAACUUCUAUCUUGAGUGUUAUGUGU
rnacentral:lncRNA from 1 species